rnacentral:rRNA from 1 species
UACAGAGGGGGCAAGGCGUUGUUCGGAAUUACUGGGCGUAAAGGGCGCGUAGGCGGCCGCCUAAGUCAGACGUGAAAUCCCUCAGCUUAACUGGGGAACUGCGUCUGAUACUGGAUGGCUUGGAUUCGGGAGAGGAAUGCGGAAUUCCGUGUGUAGCGGUGAAAUGCGUAGAUAAUACGGAGGAACACCAGCGGCGAAGGCGGGUAGCUGGGCCAGCACGUGACACUGGAGGCACGAAGCGUGGGGAGCAAACAGG